rnacentral:misc_RNA from 1 species
AAACUGCGAUAAGUAGUGUGAAUUGCAUUUAGUGAAUCAUCGAAUCUUUGAACGCACCCUGCACUCACUGGUAUUCCGGUGAGUACGCCUGUUUCAGUAUCAUUGAAAACACACAAUCAAAACAUUUUCUUUGGUUUGAUUGGCUUUGGGUCUAUCAAAAAGUUUGGCUUGUUUCUUACAAGCCAAGCGGCCUGAAAUAUAUUGUCUGGCUAAUUGCAUCGUUGAUGAUCGCUAUUAGACUUUGGCUUUUUUAAAUGAACUGGAGGUUGAUUAACCAGUUUUAGCUUUAGUCAAAUGGUCAUUGUAAAAAAAAUCUCGAUCUUGGCUAGGUGUUUAUAGCCGAAAAUUUUUUUUUGGCUAUAACCGAAACCAAUAUAAUCACAUUUAGUUAUCGAUCUGAAAUCAGGUGGGACUACCCGCUGAACUUAAGC